GAACUUUUAGUUUAAAUAGAAUAUUUCACUUACAAUGAAAUGGUUUAAAGUUUU
rnacentral:tRNA from 1 species